rnacentral:snRNA from 1 species
AUCACUUCUCGGCCUUUUGGCUAAGAUCAAGUGUAGCAUUUUAAGUUUCACUAUUUUUAUGUAGCAGAUCUUAUUUCUGAAAUGAAUGCUUUUCAUUCUAAUGAAUGUUUAAUUAUGAUGUUUUUUAACAUCAGAAACA